rnacentral:rRNA from 1 species
CGCAAGUCAUUGGGAAUUACAAAACCUAAAGGCGUAAUGAAAGUGAAGGUUCGCUUUUGUGAACUGAGGGAUGAUGGUUCGGUGCAAACUCGCAAUCCCGGGGCGUCUUAUUCUCGUUGAGGAGAGGCGCACCCAGAGCGUACACGCUGGGACCCGAAAGAUGGUGAACUAUGCCUGGUCAGGUCGAAGUCAGGGGAAACCCUGAUGGAGGACCGUAGCGAUUCUGACGUGCAAAUCGAUCGUCGGAACUGGGUAUAG